UACGGAGGGUGCAAGCGUUGUCCGGAUUUAUUGGGUUUAAAGGGUGCGUAGGCGGUCUAUUAAGUCAGUGGUGAAAGCCAACAGCUCAACUGUUGAACUGCCAUUGAUACUGAUAGACUUGAGUACAGACGAGGUAGGCGGAAUUGAAGAUGUAGCGGUGAAAUGCAUAGAUAUCUUCAAGAACACCGAUUGCGUAGGCAGCUUACUAGGCUGUAACUGACGCUGAGGCACGAAAGCGUGGGGGAGCGAACAGGG
rnacentral:rRNA from 1 species